UACGUAGGGGGCAAGCGUUGUCCGGAUUUAUUGGGCGUAAAGAGCGUGUAGGCGGUUAGGUAGGUCCGUUGUGAAAACUCGAGGCUCAACCUCGAGACGCCGAUGGAAACCAUCUGACUAGAGUCCGGAAGAGGAGAGUGGAAUUCCUGGUGUAGCGGUGAAAUGCGCAGAUAUCAGGAGGAACAUCCGUGGCGAAGGCGGCUCUCUGGGACGGUACUGACGCUGAGACGCGAGAGCGUGGGGAGCGAACAGG
rnacentral:rRNA from 1 species